UACGGAGGGGACUAGCGUUGUUCGGAAUUACUGGGCGUAAAGCGCACGUAGGCGGAUUUGUAAGUCAGGGGUGAAAUCCCGGGGCUCAACCUCGGAACUGCCUUUGAUACUGCAAAUCUCGAGUCCGGAAGAGGUGAGUGGAACUGCGAGUGUAGAGGUGAAAUUCGUAGAUAUUCGCAAGAACACCAGUGGCGAAGGCGGCUCACUGGCCCGGUACUGACGCUGAGGUGCGAAAGCGUGGGGAGCAAACAGGG
rnacentral:rRNA from 1 species